rnacentral:tmRNA from 1 species
GGGGAUGUAUAUGGUUUCGACGGUAAUCUAGAAGCAUGAAUAGCGAGUAGUGGAGAUGCCUGGCCACUAUAAAAGGCAUAACUUAAAAAUAAACGCUGAUAAUAAUGAAUUAGCAUUUGCUGCCUAAGAGCAGUAACGUCUUACUAUAAGUAACCCACGACUAUAGUUAAGGCGCCGAUUAGUGGGAAACGAAGCUAGUAUUUGCUCUUGAUACUAGCAGGAUAUUUAAAGAGUUACUUUAAAUAGAGUUUGUUUGUUAACAAUAUUUAAAGGAAUUUUAAUAACAAACUGCACUCGGAGAAGUUUAUGUGGAAAGGUUUUCGGACAGGAGUUCGACUCUCCUCAUCUCCACCA